rnacentral:rRNA from 1 species
UGGCCUUGACAUAAUAAGAAUCUUUUAGAGAUAGAGGAGUGCUAGUUUACUAGAGCUUAUAUACAGGUGCUGCACGGCUGUCGUCAGCUCGUGUCGUGAGAUGUUGGGUUAAGUCCCGCAACGAGCGCAACCCUCGUGUUUAGUUACUAACAGUUCGGCUGAGGACUCUAAACAGACUGCCUGGGUAACCAGGAGGAAGGUGAGGACGACGUCAAGUCAUCAUGGCCCUUACGGCCAGGGCUACACACGUGCUACAAUGGGGUAUACAAAGAGCCGCGAUACCGUGAGGUGGAGCAAAUCUCAUAAAAUACCUCCCAGUUCGGAUUGAAGUCUGCAACUCGACUUCAUGAAGUUGGAAUCGCUAGUAAUCGUGAAUCAGCAAUGUCACGGUGAAUACGUUCCCGGGUCU